AACGAACGCUGGCGGUAUGCUUAACACAUGCAAGUCGAACGAACAAAAUUGGUGCUUGCUCCAAUUUUAGUGAGUGGCAAACGGGUGAGUAACACGUGGGAAUCUACCUAUCAGUACGGAAUAACAUUUGGAAACAGAUGCUAAUACCGUAUAUUCUCCAAGGAGGAAAGAUUUAUCGCUGAUAGAUGAGCCCGCGUAAGAUUAGGUAGUUGGUAGGGUAAUGGCCUACCAAGCCGACGAUCUUUAGCUGGUCUUAGAGGAUGAUCAGCCACACUGGGACUGAGACACGGCCCAGACUCCUACGGGAGGCGGCAGUGGGGAAUAUUGGACAAUGGGCGAAAGCCUGAUCCAGCAAUGCCGCGUGAAUGAUGAAGGCCUUAGGGUUGUAAAGUUCUUUUAGUUGGAAAGAUAGUGACGGUACCAACAGAAAAAGCCCCGGCUAACUCCGUGCCAGCCGCCGCCGUAA
rnacentral:rRNA from 1 species